rnacentral:snRNA from 1 species
UGGUGAAACCCCUGUAUCAAAAAAGAAAAAAAAAAAAUACAGUAGAGAUUAGUAUGGCCCCUGUCCAAGGAUAACACAAAAAUUUAUAAAAUGUUUCAUAGUUUU